rnacentral:rRNA from 1 species
GACGAACGCUGGCGGCGUGCUUAACACAUGCAAGUCGAACGGAAAGGCCCUUCGGGGUACUCGAGUGGCGAACGGGUGAGUAACACGUGGGUGAUCUGCCCUGCACUUUGGGAUAAGCCUGGGAAACUGGGUCUAAUACCGAAUAUGAUCAUCGGCUUCAUGGUCGGUGGUGGAAAGCUUUUGCGGUGUGGGAUGGGCCCGCGGCCUAUCAGCUUGUUGGUGGGGUAAUGGCCUACCAAGGCGACGACAGGUAGCCGGCCUGAGAGGGUGACCGGCCACACUGGGACUGAGAUACGGCCCAGACUCCUACGGGAGGCAGCAGUGGGGAAUAUUGCACAAUGGGCGCAAGCCUGAUGCAGCGACGCCGCGUGAGGGAUGACGGCCUUCGGGUUGUAAACCUCUUUCAGCACAGACGAAGCGCAAGUGACGGUAUGUGCAGAAGAAGGACCGGCCAACUACGUG